GGUGAAUCAUACUAGAUUAUUAAUAUUUAAGAUUGGCCUAUAGGUUGGAUUUUUUUGAAUUUUGAAAGAAAAAAGUUUUACUGUUGGAAGCUGCAUUGUCCUACUUAUAAAAUAAUCUGUACAUCAAAUUAUCUAAAUAAAAUUACAAUCAAUAUUGAUGGGUCAGGUUGGUCUCCAUUCUCCAAGCAAAGGAGGGAUCUGGGUCUAAUAUUGAUUUCAGAUCGGGUUGGAUUAUGUCAUUGAGUAUAAGAUCUAAAUCAAUAUAUAAAAGAAUGCAUAUCGGAUU
rnacentral:lncRNA from 1 species